rnacentral:lncRNA from 1 species
UGAUAUAACACUAAAAUUUUCGAUCAAAAAUAUUGAUCUUGUUGUAGAUAGUAUAAAGAAUUUUGUAUCAAAAUUUCAUCUAAUUUGAAUACUUCUACACCGUUAAACUUAAAAACGGCAGAUAUCAACCAUUAAAAAUUAUUGAUUUUGAAUCCUUUCAAUCACUAGGCAAAUGAUAUAAAAAAAUCGCAAAAAUUAUUUUCUAUAAACUUCAAAUACCCUAGAUCAAGUCUAACGGAGCCGAUCGUCGAUUCGAAAGUCCCAUCAUCGAAAACAGCUCAGGAGCACGGAGGCCUUCGUACUCCUGAGAGCACAGCAACCCUACUCUAGAAAAUAAUUUUUGGAGUUUUUCGAUAUCAUUUGCCUAGUGAUCAAAAGGAUUCAAAAUCAAUAAUUUUUAAUGGUUGAUAUAUGCCGUUUGCAAGUUUAACGGUAUAGAAGUAUUCAAAUCAGAUAAAAUUUUGGUAGAAAAUUCUUUAUACUAUCUGUAACAAGAUCAAUAUUUCUGAUCGAAAAUUUUAGUGUUACAUCAUAAUUUUUUGUGAGACUUUCAUUUUCAACCGUUGAUUUUCAAUCCUUUCAAUCAUUAGGUAAAUGAUAUCGAAAAACCGCAAAAAUUAUUUUCUAAAUAGUUCAAAUAUGCUAGAUCAAGUCUAACGGAGCCGAUCGUCUAUUCAAAAGUCCCAUCAUCGAAAACGGCUUAGGAGCACGGCUGCCUCCGUGCUUCUAAUAGCACACAAGUCCUACUAUAUAUAUAUAUAAUAUAUAUAUAAAAUUUUAUUUAUAAAUAUAUAUUUAUUUAUUAUAUAUAGUAUUUUAUUUUUAUAUAAAUAUAUUGUUAUAUAAUAAUUUAUUACAUAAUUUACUAUUUAUUUUUAUAAAAUAUAAAAUAUAUAAAUAAAUGUUAAAUAAUUUAGACUAUUGGUAUUAUAUAUAAAUGUUAACUUUAUAACAUUGAGUAUUCACAUAUAAAUUGUACAUUAAAAAAUAAAAAAAAAAGAUUGAUGCAGUUUAAGUUAAUUAAAUAUUUGACGAAAAUUAAUUGCGAGAAUCACAAGCAAUGAUUUCUCUUUUCAUUCACUAACUACUGGGGGACUACGAUACCUAUUAAAAAUUAUUUCAUUAACUAAUGGGAGACUAUUAUGCCUACUAAAAUUUUUUAAUGUACUUAUUGCAUCAUUUAUUAUUUCUCAAUUCCUUAGACAUGCAGUCAUGUUUAGAAUAAUUAAUAUGGGAUAAUUUUAUUCGUACCCUAAAAAUGUUAGAAAUAUUAUAGAUAACCUUACAAAAUUAGUAAUAUCAAAUCAAACAAAAAAUAACAAGAUGAGAAAAUAUUAGUAAAGUUGAAAAACUAUUUCAAAAUAUUUUAUUGUUGAGAGAGCUUAUAUUUUCUAUAUUAGAGAAGAAAGCUGUAUUUAUUUAAAAUUAUUUCGUAAUUUGUCCGUAAUAUUUUAUAAUUAUUCUGAAAUCAAUUUUUAUAAUUAAUUUUUAAAAUUAAAUUUUAAAAUA